rnacentral:rRNA from 1 species
AUUGAACGCUGGCGGCAUGCCUUACACAUGCAAGUCGAACGGCAGCACGGAGCUUGCUCUGGUGGCGAGUGGCGAACGGGUGAGUAAUAUAUCGGAACGUACCCAAGAGUGGGGGACAACGUAGCGAAAGUUACGCUAAUACCGCAUACGAUCUAAGGAUGAAAGUGGGGGCUCGCAAGACCUCAUGCUCCUGGAGCGGCCGAUAUCUGAUUAGCUAGUUGGUGAGGUAAAGGCUCACCAAGGUAUCGAUCAGUAGCUGGUCUGAGAGGACGACGAGCCACACUGGAACUGAGACACGGUCCAGACUCCUACGGGAGGCAGCAGUGGGGAAUUUUGGACAAUGGGGGCAACCCUGAUCCAGCAAUGCCGCGUGAGUGAAGAAGGCCUUCGGGUUGUAAAGCUCUUUUGUCAGGGAAGAAACGGUGAAGGCUAAUAUCCUUUGCUAAUGACGGUACCUGAAGAAUAAGCACCGGCUAACUACGUGCCAGCAGCCGCCGUAA